AUGCACGCUGGCGGCGUGCCUAAUGCAUGCAAGUCGCGCGAACAGACGAGGAGCUUGCUCCUCUGACGUUAGCGGCGGACGGGUGAGUAACACGUGGAUAACCUACCUAUAAGACUGGGAUAACUUCGGGAAACCGGAGCUAAUACCGGAUAAUAUAUUGAACCGCAUGGUUCAAUAGUGAAAGACGGUUUUGCUGUCACUUAUAGAUGGAUCCGCGCCGCAUUAGCUAGUUGGUAAGGUAACGGCUUACCAAGGCAACGAUGCGUAGCCGACCUGAGAGGGUGAUCGGCCACACUGGAACUGAGACACGGUCCAGACUCCUACGGGAGGCAGCAGUAGGGAAUCUUCCGCAAUGGGCGAAAGCUUGACGGAGCAACGCCGCGUGAGUGAUGAAGGUCUUCGGAUCGUAAAACUCUGUUAUUAGGGAAGAACAAAUGUGUAAGUAACUAUGCACGUCUUGACGGUACCUAAUCAGAAAGCCACGGCUAACUACGUG
rnacentral:rRNA from 1 species